rnacentral:tRNA from 1 species
GGGAAGGUAGCUCAGUGGUGUAGAGUGCUUGUCUGGCAUGCAUGAGGCCCUGGGUUCAAUUCCUCAGCACCA